CAGCCGCGCGGGAACACAGAGGGUGCGAGCGUUAAUCGGAUUUACUGGGCGUAAAGCGUGCGUAGGCGGCUUCUUAAGUCGGAUGUGAAAUCCCUGAGCUUAACUUAGGAAUUGCAUUCGAUACUGGGAAGCUAGAGUAUGGGAGAGGAUGGUAGAAUUCCAGGUGUAGCGGUGAAAUGCGUAGAGAUCUGGAGGAAUACCGAUGGCGAAGGCAGCCAUCUGGCCUAAUACUGACGCUGAGGUACGAAAGCAUGGGGAGCAAACAGGAUUAGAUACCCCGGUAGUCCCUGUCUUUAUACAC
rnacentral:rRNA from 1 species